rnacentral:ncRNA from 1 species
CAACCUCAACUCAUAUGGGACUACCCCCUGAAUUUAAGCAUAUUAAUUAGGGGAGGAAAAGAAACUAACAAGGAUUUUCUUAGUAGCGGCGAGCGAAAAGAAAUCAGUUCAGCACUAAGUCACUUUGUCUAUAUGGCAAAUGUGAGAUGCAGUGUACGGAACAUCAACAUUCUAGUAUGAGAAGUUAACGAUUUAAGUCCUUCUUAAAUGAGGCCAUUUACCCAUAGAGGGUGCCAGGCCCGUAUAACGUUAAUGAUUACUAGAUGGUGUUUCCAAAGAGUCGUGUUGCUUGAUAGUGCAGCACUAAGUGGGUGGUAAACUCCAUCUAAAACUAAAUAUAACCAUGAGACCGAUAGUAAACAAGUACCGUGAGGGAAAGUUGAAAAGAACUCUGAAUAGAGAGUUAAAUAGUACGUGAAACUGCUUAGAGGUUAAGCCCGAUGAACCUGAAUAUCCGUUAUGGAAAAUUCAUCAUUAGAAUUGUAAUAU